UACGGAGGGUGCAAGCGUUGUCCGGAUUUAUUGGGUUUAAAGGGUGCGUAGGCGGCUAAUUAAGUCAGCGGUGAAAUUCCACAGCUCAACUGUGUGAACUGCCAUUGAUACUGGUUGGCUUGAGUACAGAUGAGGUAGGCGGAAUUGACAGUGUAGCGGUGAAAUGCUUAGAUAUUGUCAAGAACACCUAUUGCGAAGGCAGCUUACUAAACUGUAACUGACGCUGAGGCACGAAAGCGCGGGGAUCAAACAGG
rnacentral:rRNA from 1 species